UACAGAGGGUGCGAGCGUUAAUCGGAAUUACUGGGCGUAAAGCGCGCGUAGGCGGCUUUGCAAGUCGGGUGUGAAAUCCCCAGGCUUAACCUGGGAACUGCAUUCGAGACUGCAUUGCUAGAGUAUGGGAGAGGGAAGUGGAAUUUCCGGUGUAGCGGUGAAAUGCGUAGAUAUCGGAAGGAACAUCAGUGGCGAAAGCGGCUUCCUGGACCAAUACUGACGAUCAGGUGCGAAAGCGUGGGGAGCAAACAGG
rnacentral:rRNA from 1 species